rnacentral:lncRNA from 1 species
UCGCCGCCUGUAGUCAGCCUCCUAAGCCUGCCUCCUUUGGUCCUCGGCACCUCCUCCUUGGCUCAACUAGGGGCCGCCCCGCACCUCCAGCCCCGGCUGGCCCGCUGGGAGCUGCAGAAAUUCGCUGUCUCCCUCUAUCCCACCUGGGAGAUGAGGAAACUGGGGUCCAUAGAAGUCUAAGGACUUGUCCAAGGUCACAGAGUGACAAAACCAGUACAAGAACUUACUCUCCUGUGUUCUUUCCACCACAUCGACAACCUUUGCUAAGAAGUUGUUACAGUGACCUUCUUCCAUGGAACUCCCGUAUUCCUUCUGAGUUGGAAGAAACCACGGCGAGCAUCCUGU